rnacentral:rRNA from 1 species
AGAGUUUGAUCAUGGCUCAGGAUGAACGCUAGCGGCAGGCUUAAUACAUGCAAGUCGAGGGGCAGCAGGACGGUAGCAAUACCGUUGCUGGCGACCGGCAAACGGGUGCGGAACACGUACGCAACUUACCCAUAACUGGGGGAUAGCCCGGGGAAACCCGGAUUAAUACCUCGUAACAUCACCAGGUGGCAUCACCGGGUGAUUAUAGCUCCGGCGGUUAUGGAUGGGCGUGCGCCUGAUUAGGUAGUUGGCGGGGUAACGGCCCACCAAGCCUGCGAUCAGUAACUGGUGUGAGAGCACGACCAGUCACACGGGCACUGAGACACGGGCCCGACUCCUACGGGAGGCAGCAGUAAGGAAUAUUGGUCAAUGGACGCAAGUCUGAACCAGCCAUGCCGCGUGAAGGAUGAAGGUCCUCUGGAUUGUAAACUUCUUUUAUAUGGGACGAAACCCGGGUAUUCCUACCCGAUUGACGGUACCAUAGGAAUAAGCACCGGCUAACUCCGUGCCAGCAGCCGCGGUAAUACGGAGGGUGCAAGCGUUAUUCGGAUUCACUGGGUUUAAAGGGUGCGUAGGAGGGUAGGUAAGUCAGUGGUGAAAUCUCCGGGCUCAACUCGGAAACUGCCGUUGAUACUAUCUGUCUUGAAUACCGUGGAGGUGAGCGGAAUAUGUCAUGUAGCGGUGAAAUGCUUAGAUAUGACAUAGAACACCGAUUGCGAAGGCAGCUCACUACACGAAUAUUGACUCUGAGGCACGAAAGCGUGGGGAUCAAACAGGAUUAGAUACCCUGGUAGUCCACGCCCUAAACUAUGGAUACUCGACAUACGCGAUACACUGUGUGUGUCUGAGCGAAAGCAUUAAGUAUCCCACCUGGGAAGUACGACCGCAAGGUUGAAACUCAAAUGAAUUGACGG